UCAACGGUUUUUCUAUGCUGGUAUUAGCUUUAGCGUCUUUAAAGAAGAUAUAGACUGCUAUUUUUGAAGUAGCUAAAUGGAUGGAAGCAACUUACUUAAAUCGUAGCGAAAAAGCACAGCGUCCUACUUUUUACUGUUAUUGGCUGUCCUUUUGGUGGGAAAGCAAAGCAUUACCUUAAGAAAAUUGGUUUCGCUCCACAAAUUAUAAACUUACCAGACUGUAUAAAAGAUAAAGAACAUCAAAUAAGACAAGAAAUAUACCAAAUAACUGGACGUAAAACUUCUCCUUUCCUCUUUAUAAAGGGGCUUUACGUUAAAGGUUGUGAUGAUAGCUUGGAGUCUUAUUUAGACGAUGCUUUUCAAUCUUCUUUAAACUUUGUUAUAGCUCAGUGCCACAUAGUUAAAAAGAUAACUGUUUUAACUCCUGAACAAAUUGAAGCUGCAGAGAUCGAAAAACGUAAAGCCGCCACCCUUCUAGAAGAAAAAAAACAGACACUUUUAAAGAUUAAAGAAGAGCAGUUGGAAUUUUUACAGAAACAUAGCAAAUUUAAAACUAGAGGUCUGUAUGUUUUUGGUUUAAACAAAUAUAAUGGAGGAACCAGUAAGAUAGAAACAAAUAUUGAUAAACUAUGUGAAACUGAGCCGGACACGACUGCUGCUUUAAAGAGAAAAACUUUAUAAUAAAUUAUUAAAACUUGUAUACUCCAC